ensembl:lncRNA
CUUCCGUUACGUAACUCAAACAAACAAAUAUUAUAACAUUUUCAUUUAUACAAAAUAUAAACUAUUAGUAUUGGGAGGUUUAUAAGGGUUUACAAAUCCCACAUCAUCAACCCUUCCCAUAGCCUCACAGUUGUUCUUGCUAUGGGGUACAGUUCCCAUUGCACUGAAGGGAGGGAGUGGGUCAGUCGUAUCCCCUUCAUGUAUAAUUACCAGAAAACUCUUUAGAAAUCACAAGGGCAAAAAAUGAUAUGAAUCCUGUGGCAUCUUAAAUUGUUAGAGAGUGCUUGCGUUCAAAUUGUAAGAGUUAUAAUCCAUAAGCCAAAUAACAAAUACCCAACACCAAAGGUGCCCCAGGUGUGUGUGUCUGUGUGUGUGUGUGUGUGUGUGUGUGUGUGUGUGUGUGUGUGUGUGUGUGUGUGUGUGUGUGUGUGUGUGUGAGUGUUUAUUUAAUGUAUUCAACUUUACUUUGCAUACAAAACCAGUUGGAUGUGCAUCGCUUAAAUUAAAAACGACAUUGAAAGAAUGAAACAACCCCACUAAAACAAACUUGUGGACAGGAAAAUCCCAAAAGUUCCACUUCCUCUUUUCGUUUAAGAAUCGAGACAUGGGGAUAGAAAACCCAGAGCCAUGAGCAUCUCAGAAAAGGGGAUGGCGUUGCCAUGGAAACACUCUAUGUCAAUAGAGUCGCUUGGAGGGGGGGGGGGGUGCCGUCGCCCGGGCCGGGACUGGUCGGGUAGGUUGGGGGGGUGUUGUCGUUGACGGUCUCCGUUGGGUGCCACUGCCUCCGGUCUUCAGAUACAAACAGCAGUCUGUACUGAUAACACCAACCUUCUCUUUUUUUUCAACAGCAAAGGAAAGGUGUCACCGAUUCCAGAGUCCAUCGUGGCGCCUGCGUGGUGGUCUUCAUGGUCUUUGCGGGGGAGGGUGUGUGUGUGUGUGUGUGCGUGUGUGUGUGUAUGUGUUUGGUGAGGGGGCUGGGGAGGAGGGGUGGUUCGCCAUGGUCAUCGCGUGUGGCUGUGUGUGUGCGUGUGUGUGUGUUUGUGGGCGGUGCUGAUGGGGGGUGGUGGUUUGCGGUGCUAGUGGUGAUGGGGGUGGGC